GCCAUAGCUGAGCGGUAGGGUAUCCGCUUCGCAUGCAGAAGGUCCCAGGUUCGAUCCCCAGCUCCAAGCAGAGACA